UCCCUGGUAGCUCAGUCGGCAAAGAACCUGCCUGCAAUGCAGGAGACCCUGGUUCAAUUCCUGGAUUGGGAA
rnacentral:tRNA from 1 species